GUUCAAUUGGAGUGGCAGUAGAUUUGACAUGGUUCACACUUAAUUUCAAUGAUUCUCGUUAGGGAUGGCUAAUUGUCUAACUUGUCCAUCAAACAUUUUAACCCAUUUCUAUAGAAUUUUUUUGAGAUUCCUUACCUAUUCCUAUUUCCUACUAUUUUUAAGUUUUAACAGAAAAAUAAUGGGUAUUGAUAGUAGGAAAUGGACUUCGGAAAAAUUAAUAUAUUGCUAUUUGGUUGUGGCUCAAUCACUUCAUGUUACUAGGCUUGGUUUUUCAAUUUCUCCAAUGCAGAUGGUAGUGGGCAGCCUAUGGUCUAGUCUAGAAUAGUCAAUGACUUCAAUACCAUACAAAAGGU
rnacentral:misc_RNA from 1 species